UACGGAGGGUGCAAGCGUUAAUCGGAAUUACUGGGCGUAAAGCGUGCGCAGGCGGUUUGUUAAGUCUGCUGUGAAAUCCCCGGGCUUAACCUGGGAAUUGCGCUUGAAACUAGCGGGCUUGAGUGUGGCAGAGGGGGGUGGAAUUCCACGUGUAGCAGUGAAAUGCGUAGAGAUGUGGAGGAACACCGAUGGCGAAGGCAGCCCCCUGGGUCAACACUGACGCUCAUGCACGAAAGCGUGGGGAGCAAACAGG
rnacentral:rRNA from 1 species